GCGGACGUGGUGGAAUUGGUAGACACACUGGAUUUAGGUUCCAGCGCCGCAAGGCGUGAGAGUUCGAGUCUCUCCGUCCGCACCG
rnacentral:tRNA from 1 species